rnacentral:rRNA from 1 species
GAUGAACGCUGGCGGCGUGCCUAAUACAUGCAAGUCGAGCGAACAGAUGAGGAGCUUGCUCCUCUGACGUUAGCGGCGGACGGGUGAGUAACACGUGGAUAACCUACCUAUAAGACUGGGAUAACUUCGGGAAACCGGAGCUAAUACCGGAUAAUAUAUUGAACCGCAUGGUUCAAUAGUGAAAGACGGUUUUGCUGUCACUUAUAGAUGGAUCCGCGCCGCAUUAGCUAGUUGGUAAGGUAACGGCUUACCAAGGCAACGAUGCGUAGCCGACCUGAGAGGGUGAUCGGCCACACUGGAACUGAGACACGGUCCAGACUCCUACGGGAGGCAGCAGUAGGGAAUCUUCCGCAAUGGGCGAAAGCCUGACGGAGCAACGCCGCGUGAGUGAUGAGGGUCUUCGGAUCGUAAAACUCUGUUAUUAGGGAAGAACGAAUGUGUAAGUAACUAUGCACGUCUUGACGGUACCUAAUCAGAAAGCCACGGCUAACUACGUG